UUUCCGUAGGUGAACCUGCGGAAGGAUCAUUAUUGAAAAAGACAAGACGCCCCGUUUUUUCGUAAAAUGGGUUCAAUACCCACAACCGUGUAUACCUUACCUUUUGUUGCUUUGGCAGGCCGCCUCCGGGCGUUGGCUUCGGCUGACAGCGCCUGCCAGAGGACCCAAACUCUGUGUUUAGUGAUGUCUGAUUAAUAUAUAAUAUUUUAAAACUUUCAACAACGGAUCUCUUGGUUCUG
rnacentral:misc_RNA from 1 species